rnacentral:lncRNA from 1 species
GUCCAGAAGGACCUCAACCGCCGUGGAGGAGAUUCAGAUUUUUAUCUUGCAGGUACUGGGGGGGACUUUGAAGGAUUUUCAGCCGACGUGAUCAGACUUGCCUUUCAGAAGAAUAUUCUGAGGGCUGUAAAGGGUGAUCAGGGCAGCAGGGCAAGAAGACCCACUAGGAAAUGACUACUGGGUCGAACCAUAUAAAACCCUUUUUGUUUAGGUCAGAACAUGGCCAAAUGUCAUCAAUUUGGUCCGGGUGAGAGAUGACCCCAGCCCAAGCGGAGGCAGCAGUAAAGGAGGUAUUUAGGAAUUCUGACGCAGUAGGACCUUAUGGUUUCUUUGAUGACAGAGGAAAGAGCAGAGCCUGUGCCUGAAGCAGGAACAGGUAUGAGGUGAAUUUUGGAACGAGAAGAUUUCCUUCAACCGUAAAUCCGCAGCUGAGCCUGGUGGAGUCAGUCCUUUGGGGACGGCGACACGGUGAGUUUGGGGCUGGCUGGGUUGACCACUGGGCCGCAUCAUCUUCACCACACUGUGGACACUCCAAGAAGGUUUCUACCAGUUCCCUGAUGUGGCCCCAAAACAGAGCACCACAGGGCGGGGGGGGGGGGGGGGGGGGUGCUUCCCGGAGGCCGGACAUCGGACUCCAAGGGGUGGGCAGGGCUGCGUCCUCCGGGGGGCUGGGAGGGACAGCCUGCUCCUGCCCCCGGUCUCCUGGGUGUGUCGAUGCACCACCCCAAUCCCGCCUUCACGCUCGCGCGGUGUUCUCGGUGUGUGAGCCCCGCUUUUUCACGUGGCCGCCUGCCUCUGUGUGUCCGUGUGCCUGCGUUCUCUCCUUAGGACCCCAGCCAUUGGACUAGGGCGCACCCUACUCUGAUGGGAUCUCUUCUUAGAUAAUUCCACCCGCAGGGACUCCGUUCCCCCAUAAGUUCGCAUUCUGAGGCACCGGGGGCUGGGACCUCAACGUAUGCACUUGGGAGGGACGCGAUUUAACCCAUAACAGUAUUUUUGAGGGUCAUGCUCCUCCUCAUUUUACUGAUGGUAAUUCUGUCUUUUCCUUUAGGAGAAAGAGUCACCUUUCCUAUUUAGUUUAUACCUUAUCACAGCUGCAAGGAAUAGUGUUCUGCAAGACUUCACUGACAGUCUUUACCACAUACUGGCAAUAGACGGGGGCUUUUGUGAGUUUCUAAAACGUUUUAAUGUGUGGUCUAACCUUAGCGGCUAAGGGGAGAAGACCUUCACUGCAUCCCGCUUGGCCACAUGGGCAGAACACGCAGGACCGGCCCCCGUGUACAACGGCCCCUUCUGAUCUCGUGGGCUGCGGCCGGCAGUCAGACUCAGCACUGGCUUCCAAGGUGAGCCACGGGUGACAGGUGUUCUUGCGCAUCAUGGCUUUGGUUUCUCAAGAUACGGCAUUUGUUUUGGAACUCUGGAGAACCGAAGAGCCUCGCCCUGUGUAGAAUUAAAACGCAGAUUGGAAGAGCAAGCAGGACUCAGGACUCAGCGACUGAGAGGCCAUCCUGAGAAGAUUCAGAAAGGCGUGGGGGCCUCCACUCCCCCCCUCACAAUAAGUGAAACUGUGCCAAGCCACAAAGCUGCCGAUGGGUAAAAACCUGGGCUCUAGAACCUCACAGACUCACACUUGAUAGCUGACCUGGUUUUAGAUAAGAGAUGGCUUGGUUACUAAAUGGGAACUAAAUGAAAUCAGGUGCCUUCUGAUAUGAUGCGGUAAAAUGGACACCUCACUCAUGCAGCCUUCCUGCCAAAGGCGCAUGGGCGACAUUUAAUCCUGAAGAAGCAUCUGGGCGAGCCCACGGGGGGCCGUUACUGUUAACUGUGUCGGUGCCGUAAAGGAAAGUGAAACAGAGGGAAAGUUCCAGAUUACGGGAGACAAAAGAGAUGUGACAUCGAAAUGCAAUGCUUGAUCUUGGAUUGGAUCCUGGAUUAUUAAAAGAAGUUUCUAGAAAGGACAAUAUUGGGACAGCUGGCAAAUUUUGAAUAUGUGUUUUCAGUUAGAGAAUAGCGUUAUAAAAUGUUAACUUGCCCGAAGGUGAUCAUGUCUCUGUAGCUGCGUAAGAGACUUCCUUGCUUUUAGGAGAUACACGGUGCAGUUUUUAGGGCUGAGGGCUUGUCAUCUGUGUAAUUUACUCUCGGGUGGUUCAGGAAGAAUGAGAAUAAGAAAUCACGAGGGCGGGUGACUAUACUUAGCAAUACUCUAUUGUUACUUGAAAGUUGCUAAGAGAAUAGAUCUUAAAAGUUCUCACACAAAAAAGGUAACUAUGUGAAGUGAUGGAUGUGUUAAUGAACUUUACAGUAGUGAUCAUUUCCAAAUAUAUAUGUGUAUCAAAUCGUCGCGUCGUACACCUUACAUUUUCACAGUGUUAUACGUCAACUACACCUCAAGCUGAAAAAUAAACAAGUGCCCCAAAUAUUGGGGAUCUUAUUGUGCAAUAUAUAAAUACAUAGAGAGAGGUAGAGCGAACGUAACAAAUGUUAACAAAUGUUAACAAAUCUAGGUGACGUGUGUAAGAAAGUCUAUUGUAACUUUCUCAUAACUCCUGUGUCCUUGAAUUAUUUUUUCCCAAAUAAAAAGUUUAAUUAAAGAAAAAACGGAUGAUCCUGCCCAGGACACCGAUGUAGCGCCAGACAUCUUCGUAGAACGGAAACUUGAAAAAAAUG